rnacentral:lncRNA from 1 species
CAGAAACAGAAGAACUGAAACCUCAGCUGAGGCUUCUGCUCUCGCAUUUCAGUAUCUCUUAUGACGUGGAAGAGCUGAGCGAUGCUUCUAAGGAGACAGAACUUUUUGCCUUGGUUUCCCCAAAAUUUCAAAGCAUCUUCAUGGAACAACAGAGAAUGCAAACGUUUCCAGACUAUAAUGCUGGGAUAGCUAAAGUGGAAAAUUUGAAUUUGGCAGGACCUCGUAGGGCCUUGAAAAAGGGAGCCAACUGGACUUCCUUUAUAAAGAUUAAGCCAAAAUGUGAUCCUUGGCAAAAGAAGCUUUUGACCAAACUAAAAGAACGGAG